CUAUAUUAUAACUAUUUCUAGCCUGCUUCAGAGUUCAAACGCCGAAGGGCUAGCAACAGGGGGACUAUUAGCUCUCUCUCUCUAAUCCAAUCCCCUGAUGAUGAGACGUAGAUUGAGCUGAUAGCCCGAUACAUGAACGACUCCUCCGUGUCCCUUGGAUCUCCCGCCAGAUUAAGCUAAACUACUAGGAGUACUUCCCGAUUUCCCUCG
rnacentral:lncRNA from 1 species